rnacentral:rRNA from 1 species
AGGUGCCUACGGGGCGCAGCAGUGAGGAAUAUUGGUCAAUGGGCGGAAGCCUGAACCAGCCAAGUCGCGUGAGGGAAUAAGGCCCUACGGGUCGUAAACCUCUUUUGCCGGGGAGCAAGGGCCGGGACGCGUCCCGGCCCGGAGAGUACCCGGAGAAAAAGCAUCGGCUAACUCCGUGCCAGCAGCCGCGGUAAUACGGAGGAUGCGAGCGUUAUCCGGAUUUAUUGGGUUUAAAGGGUGAGUAGGCGGGCUUUUAAGUCAGCGGUAAAAAUUCGGGGCUCAAGCCCGUCCGGCCGUUGAAACUG